rnacentral:lncRNA from 1 species
UGGGUGAUGCAGAUGAUAUGAAAAUAGACUGUUGAGAGCAAAACAGUGCACUUCAACAAUAACCAGCAACCAUUCAGUGAGCGUGCUGGAAGGAACCAGAAGCUUCCCAUCUUUAAAGUCAGGUUGUAUUUGAUGCAAAAUAUCAAACAAGAACAUGAGAGGUCUCUGCAGGGGAGAAAGCUGAGGCUCAUCAGUGUAGUCUGAUUGGAAGGUUUGCAAAAGAACCCUCCUGCCCAGUAUAUCUUACUAGCUUUCCUGCCUGCUGCUCCUUGCUUGCUGUGCCUCUCUGCAUGCUCUCCCACCCACUGCACCAGAGCUGCUUCUCCAGAAAGGUCACUGCUUCUCCCUGCAGCUUCUCUGUGCUCAGAAG